GGGUGAGGAUGCUUAGCUGCGAAUUCUUCAUGAGUUAGAAUUCAGACCGCAUUGCAUUCAGUCGAAUUGGCAGACGACGUCGAUCGAUGACUGGAGCAAUCUAUCCAUCGAUCUUCAUCAUGGUCUAUCGAUCGAUGCGAGUUCAUCGACAUCGGUCGACACCAUUGGGAUCCGCCGAGACUCAUGGAGCUUUCGAUUUCGAAUCCUCCUUCCUCAAGCUUUUCAUUUCUCACCACUUGCCAGAAAUCAUCAUC
rnacentral:lncRNA from 1 species